GGGGCAAGCAAAUGGGAGCUGGAUAUAGAGAUAAAAAGAACAGAGAGACUUGGCAGAGAAGAAAAGUGUUAUCAAUGUAAUUCCUGAAAUUCUUUUUAAUGUAGACAAAGUCUUACAUUUAGAGCUAAAAGGCUUAAACAUGCCUGCAUGCUGGGGAAAACAGACACGCUGGAAUGGACAGGCUGGAAUGAAGGAGUUCUAAGCCUUUUCGGUGUGGGCCAAGAAAGUUGUCCCACUGGCCUGUGUGACCUGGGCCACUGGGUGGAUAGCUUUGCCUGUCCACCCCCACUCACUACACAGCCUUAUCUGAUGGUGCUGGAGGGAGGGGCUGGGGCCUAGCAACCCGUUUGUUCCAGUGUCGGGCAGAGCAUACAGUUUCAGCCUCGAAGGGCCUCCAAUCUUAGAGAGGGGUUCUCAGCAGCUCACAUCUAUCCUGGGAACACUGAGGAGCAGUGGAAGAGAAUGAGGGCUCCCAGUAAGUAGUACUUCCUUCCGCAAAGACGAGAGAGCAAAGAGGAGCAUACUGGACGUGGAAGGGCCCGAAAGAGCGGCAUCGGGGGAGAAAUUAUACAUGCAAAAUUGAAAAUAAGAAACAGAAAUGCAAAUACCACGUCUGAUGAAACAGAAAAGAAGAAACUCCACAAACAAAUGAAAUGGACAGACUAAAAAGAAGUAAUGUCAACUAAGUGUAAAUUAAUAACUACUUUGGAGAUUACUGAGUAGCAUCUACUAGUUAUUUAUAUAAUUUAUGACCUAACAAUUCUACUUCAACAGAAAUGAGUGUAUCUGUCCACCAAAAGACUUAUAUGCUUUAUUCACAAUAGCCAAAAUCUGAAAACAACCCUAAUGUCCACCAACAGAGGAUGGAUAAAUUGUUCUUUCAUCCAAUGGAAUAUCACAUACUGAUAAAAAGUAACUACUGACAGACACAACAGGGAUAAAUCUGGAAACAUAAACUGGAGAGUGCACAGGAGUGUAUUUUGCAUGAUUUUGUUCUAUGACUUCAUGAAUAGGAUAAUCUAUGGUUAUAUCAGAAUGGUUACCUGUCAGGGGAAGAAGUAUUGAGAAAGGGGUUAAUGAGGCUGGGGAUUUAGCUCAGGGGUUCCACCACCUGCCUCGCAAGCACAAGGUCCUGAGUUUGAUCCCCGGUACCAAAAAAA
ensembl:lncRNA